rnacentral:rRNA from 1 species
UACGAAGGGUGCAAGCGUUACUCGGAAUUACUGGGCGUAAAGCGUGCGUAGGUGGUUUGUUAAGUCUGAUGUGAAAGCCCUGGGCUCAACCUGGGAAUUGCAUUGGAUACUGGCAGGCUAGAGUGCGGUAGAGGAUGGCGGAAUUCCCGGUGUAGCAGUGAAAUGCGUAGAUAUCGGGAGGAACACCAGUGGCGAAGGCGACUACCUGGACCAGCACUGACACUGAGGCACGAAAGCGUGGGGAGCAAACAGG